UACGAAGGGGGCUAGCGUUGCUCGGAAUUACUGGGCGUAAAGGGCGCGUAGGCGGGUCGUUAAGUUGGGGGUGAAAGCCCAGGGCUCAACCCUGGAAUUGCCUUCAAUACUGGCGACCUUGAGUAUGGCAGAGGUGUGUGGAACUCCGAGUGUAGAGGUGAAAUUCGUAGAUAUUAGGAAGAACACCAGUGGCGAAGGCGGCUCACUGGCCCGGUACUGACGCUGAGGCGCGAAGGCGUGGGGAGCAAACAGG
rnacentral:rRNA from 1 species